AUUCAAAUAGCUUAUGAAGAGUGUAACACUGAAGAUGUUAAGGAGACAAAAUGUCUUUGAAUA
rnacentral:tRNA from 1 species